rnacentral:rRNA from 1 species
AAUGAACGUUGGCGGCGUGGAUUAGGCAUGCAAGUCGAGCGAGAACCCCGCAAGGGGGGACAGCGGCAAACGGGGUAGGAACGGGUGGGUGACGUACCCUUCGGCCGGGGAUAGCCACGGGAAACUGUGGGUAAUACCCGAUAAUCUCUCAGGCGGUAAUCGUUUGGGAGCAAAGGUGUGAUUCCUCCGGAGGAGCGGCCCGCCUCGUAUUAGCUUGUUGGUGAGGUAACGGCUCACCAAGGCGACGAUGCGUAGGGGGUGUGAGAGCAUGACCCCCACGACUGGGACUGAGAUACUGCCCAGACACCUACGGGUGGCUGCAGUCGAGAAUCUUCGGCAAUGGGCGCAAGCCUGACCGAGCGACGCCGCGUGUGGGAUGAAGGCCCUUGGGUUGUAAACCACUGUCAGAGGGGAUGAAGUGCCAGAGAGUUAUCUCUCUGGUUUGACAUAGCCUCAGAGGAAGCACGGGCUAAGUUCGUGCCAGCCGCCGCCGUAA